rnacentral:rRNA from 1 species
GGUUAAGCGACUAAGCGUACACGGUGGAUGCCCUGGCAGUCAGAGGCGAUGAAGGACGUGCUAAUCUGCGAUAAGCGUCGGUAAGGUGAUAUGAACCGUUAUAACCGGCGAUUUCCGAAUGGGGAAACCCAGUGUGUUUCGACACACUAUCAUUAACUGAAUCCAUAGGUUAAUGAGGCGAACCGGGGGAACUGAAACAUCUAAGUACCCCGAGGAAAAGAAAUCAACCGAGAUUCCCCCAGUAGCGGCGAGCGAACGGGGAGCAGCCCAGAGCCUGAAUCAGUGUGUGUGUUAGUGGAAGCGUCUGGAAAGGCGCGCGAUACAGGGUGACAGCCCCGUACACAAAAAUGCACAUGCUGUGAGCUCGAUGAGUAGGGCGGGACACGUGGUAUCCUGUCUGAAUAUGGGGGGACCAUCCUCCAAGGCUAAAUACUCCUGACUGACCGAUAGUGAACCAGUACCGUGAGGGAAAGGCGAAAAGAACCCCGGCGAGGGGAGUGAAAAAGAACCUGAAACCGUGUACGUACAAGCAGUGGGAGCACGCUUAGGCGUGUGACUGCGUACCUUUUGUAUAAUGGGUCAGCGACUUAUAUUCUGUAGCAAGGUUAACCGAAUAGGGGAGCCGAAGGGAAACCGAGUCUUAACUGGGCGUUAAGUUGCAGGGUAUAGACCCGAAACCCGGUGAUCUAGCCAUGGGCAGGUUGAAGGUUGGGUAACACUAACUGGAGGACCGAACCGACUAAUGUUGAAAAAUUAGCGGAUGACUUGUGGCUGGGGGUGAAAGGCCAAUCAAACCGGGAGAUAGCUGGUUCUCCCCGAAAGCUAUUUAGGUAGCGCCUCGUGAAUUCAUCUCCGGGGGUAGAGCACUGUUUCGGCAAGGGGGUCAUCCCGACUUACCAACCCGAUGCAAACUGCGAAUACCGGAGAAUGUUAUCACGGGAGACACACGGCGGGUGCUAACGUCCGUCGUGAAGAGGGAAACAACCCAGACCGCCAGCUAAGGUCCCAAAGUCAUGGUUAAGUGGGAAACGAUGUGGGAAGGCCCAGACAGCCAGGAUGUUGGCUUAGAAGCAGCCAUCAUUUAAAGAAAGCGUAAUAGCUCACUGGUCGAGUCGGCCUGCGCGGAAGAUGUAACGGGGCUAAACCAUGCACCGAAGCUGCGGCAGCGACGCUGAUGCGUUGUUGGGUAGGGGAGCGUUCUGUAAGCCUGCGAAGGUGUGCUGUGAGGCAUGCUGGAGGUAUCAGAAGUGCGAAUGCUGACAUAAGUAACGAUAAAGCGGGUGAAAAGCCCGCUCGCCGGAAGACCAAGGGUUCCUGUCCAACGUUAAUCGGGGCAGGGUGAGUCGACCCCUAAGGCGAGGCCGAAAGGCGUAGUCGAUGGGAAACAGGUUAAUAUUCCUGUACUUGGUGUUACUGCGAAGGGGGGACGGAGAAGGCUAUGUUGGCCGGGCGACGGUUGUCCCGGUUUAAGCGUGUAGGCUGGUUUUCCAGGCAAAUCCGGAAAAUCAAGGCUGAGGCGUGAUGACGAGGCACUACGGUGCUGAAGCAACAAAUGCCCUGCUUCCAGGAAAAGCCUCUAAGCAUCAGGUAACAUCAAAUCGUACCCCAAACCGACACAGGUGGUCAGGUAGAGAAUACCAAGGCGCUUGAGAGAACUCGGGUGAAGGAACUAGGCAAAAUGGUGCCGUAACUUCGGGAGAAGGCACGCUGAUAUGUAGGUGAAGUCCCUUGCGGAUGGAGCUGAAAUCAGUCGAAGAUACCAGCUGGCUGCAACUGUUUAUUAAAAACACAGCACUGUGCAAACACGAAAGUGGACGUAUACGGUGUGACGCCUGCCCGGUGCCGGAAGGUUAAUUGAUGGGGUUAGCGCAAGCGAAGCUCUUGAUCGAAGCCCCGGUAAACGGCGGCCGUAACUAUAACGGUCCUAAGGUAGCGAAAUUCCUUGUCGGGUAAGUUCCGACCUGCACGAAUGGCGUAAUGAUGGCCAGGCUGUCUCCACCCGAGACUCAGUGAAAUUGAACUCGCUGUGAAGAUGCAGUGUACCCGCGGCAAGACGGAAAGACCCCGUGAACCUUUACUAUAGCUUGACACUGAACAUUGAGCCUUGAUGUGUAGGAUAGGUGGGAGGCUUAGAAGUGUGGACGCCAGUCUGCAUGGAGCCGACCUUGAAAUACCACCCUUUAAUGUUUGAUGUUCUAACGUUGACCCGUAAUCCGGGUUGCGGACAGUGUCUGGUGGGUAGUUUGACUGGGGCGGUCUCCUCCUAAAGAGUAACGGAGGAGCACGAAGGUUGGCUAAUCCUGGUCGGACAUCAGGAGGUUAGUGCAAUGGCAUAAGCCAGCUUGACUGCGAGCGUGACGGCGCGAGCAGGUGCGAAAGCAGGUCAUAGUGAUCCGGUGGUUCUGAAUGGAAGGGCCAUCGCUCAACGGAUAAAAGGUACUCCGGGGAUAACAGGCUGAUACCGCCCAAGAGUUCAUAUCGACGGCGGUGUUUGGCACCUCGAUGUCGGCUCAUCACAUCCUGGGGCUGAAGUAGGUCCCAAGGGUAUGGCUGUUCGCCAUUUAAAGUGGUACGCGAGCUGGGUUUAGAACGUCGUGAGACAGUUCGGUCCCUAUCUGCCGUGGGCGCUGGAGAACUGAGGGGGGCUGCUCCUAGUACGAGAGGACCGGAGUGGACGCAUCACUGGUGUUCGGGUUGUCAUGCCAAUGGCACUGCCCGGUAGCUAAAUGCGGAAGAGAUAAGUGCUGAAAGCAUCUAAGCACGAAACUUGCCCCGAGAUGAGUUCUCCCUGACCCUUUAAGGGUCCUGAAGGAACGUUGAAGACGACGACGUUGAUAGGCCGGGUGUGUAAGCGCAGCGAUGCGUUGAGCUAACCGGUACUAAUGAACCGUGAGGCUUAACCUU